CAGCUACUUGGGAGGCUGAGGCAGGAGAAUGGCGUGAACCCGGGAGGUGGAGGUUGCAGUGAGCCGAGAUCGCGCCGCUGCACUCCAGCCUGGGUGACAGAGCGAGACUCCAUCUCAAAAAAAAUAAAAAAAAUAAAAAAAAAAAAAAAGAAGAGGAGGGUUGGCGGCAACAACAUACAGAGAGGCAGAGGUCCGGAGAGAAGACUACAUUUCAUUGUGGUAGGAGGCAGUUGGGAAAGAGUGAUGAGCGUAUUAGAAAUAAGUACGAAAGGCUUUGAAGAGCUAGCCUAGGAGUUUAGACUUGAGGUGAGAGGCAUUAGAAAGCUAAAUAAGUUUGUUGAUAAGUGAAGUGACAUGUUGGAAGUAUAUUUUAGGGAGAUCUGACUGAAGUAUGCAGGGUAAAUAGAAAUGAGAUGAUGUGGAGUAGGACUUCCACUUGGAAGCUUCUUUAAUUGUUCAAGUAUAAGAUGGUAAAAACCUGGGUUAAUAGGAUAAAAGUAAAAAUUUGAGAGG
rnacentral:lncRNA from 1 species